rnacentral:rRNA from 1 species
UUAAAUUGAAGAGUUUGAUCAUGGCUCAGAUUGAACGCUGGCGGCAGGCCUAACACAUGCAAGUCGAACGGUAACAGGAAGCAGCUUGCUGCUUUGCUGACGAGUGGCGGACGGGUGAGUAAUGUCUGGGAAACUGCCUGAUGGAGGGGGAUAACUACUGGAAACGGUGGCUAAUACCGCAUAAUGUCGCAAGACCAAAGAGGGGGACCUUCGGGCCUCUUGCCAUCAGAUGUGCCCAGAUGGGAUUAGCUUGUUGGUGAGGUAACGGCUCACCAAGGCGACGAUCCCUAGCUGGUCUGAGAGGAUGACCAGCCACACUGGAACUGAGACACGGUCCAGACUCCUACGGGAGGCAGCAGUGGGGAAUAUUGCACAAUGGGCGCAAGCCUGAUGCAGCCAUGCCGCGUGUAUGAAGAAGGCCUUCGGGUUGUAAAGUACUUUCAGCGGGGAGGAAGGUGUUGUGGUUAAUAACCACAGCAAUUGACGUUACCCGCAGAAGAAGCACCGGCUAACUCCGUGCCAGCAGCCGCGGUAAUACGGAGGGUGCAAGCGUUAAUCGGAAUUACUGGGCGUAAAGCGCACGCAGGCGGUCUGUCAAGUCGGAUGUGAAAUCCCCGGGCUCAACCUGGGAACUGCAUUCGAAACUGGCAGGCUUGAGUCUUGUAGAGGGGGGUAGAAUUCCAGGUGUAGCGGUGAAAUGCGUAGAGAUCUGGAGGAAUACCGGUGGCGAAGGCGGCCCCCUGGACAAAGACUGACGCUCAGGUGCGAAAGCGUGGGGAGCAAACAGGAUUAGAUACCCUGGUAGUCCACGCCGUAAACGAUGUCUACUUGGAGGUUGUGCCCUUGAGGCGUGGCUUCCGGAGCUAACGCGUUAAGUAGACCGCCUGGGGAGUACGGCCGCAAGGUUAAAACUCAAAUGAAUUGACGGGGGCCCGCACAAGCGGUGGAGCAUGUGGUUUAAUUCGAUGCAACGCGAAGAACCUUACCUGGUCUUGACAUCCACAGAACUUUCCAGAGAUGGAUUGGUGCCUUCGGGAACUGUGAGACAGGUGCUGCAUGGCUGUCGUCAGCUCGUGUUGUGAAAUGUUGGGUUAAGUCCCGCAACGAGCGCAACCCUUAUCCUUUGUUGCCAGCGGUCCGGCCGGGAACUCAAAGGAGACUGCCAGUGAUAAACUGGAGGAAGGUGGGGAUGACGUCAAGUCAUCAUGGCCCUUACGACCAGGGCUACACACGUGCUACAAUGGCGCAUACAAAGAGAAGCGACCUCGCGAGAGCAAGCGGACCUCAUAAAGUGCGUCGUAGUCCGGAUUGGAGUCUGCAACUCGACUCCAUGAAGUCGGAAUCGCUAGUAAUCGUGGAUCAGAAUGCCACGGUGAAUACGUUCCCGGGCCUUGUACACACCGCCCGUCACACCAUGGGAGUGGGUUGCAAAAGAAGUAGGUAGCUUAACCUUCGGGAGGGCGCUUACCACUUUGUGAUUCAUGACUGGGGUGAAGUCGUAACAAGGUAACCGUAGGGGAACCUGCGGUUGGAUCACCUCCUUACCUGAAAGAAGC